rnacentral:rRNA from 1 species
AUGAUGGCGCAUGAGGUCUUUUCCCGCCUCCUUCUCACGGAACAGCGGGUCGAGUCGCGCCGCUCCAGGGGCAAUGGGGGCUCCCUCUCGGCCAACGCCGCCACCAAGGGUGGCCGCCCUUCUUCAUCAUCCAGGACCCCUUCGGGGCUGCCACUGCUGCCCGCCUCGGCCCCCCUGCUUCUGCGACAUUACCGGGGGCUGGUGGUAAGCGCGUGUGUCAGCUCUGUGGCCUUGAUGGGCACUGGGCCUCUAAGUGUCACAAACGCUUUCAGAAAAGUUUUCUGGGUCUGGGCAAUGAUGGCAAGGACACGCGCAACUUUGCGCGUCAGGUGGCCAUGGCAGAUCGGCCAGUGUCCACAAAGCAGCAAGGGCACACUCAGUCCUACUCUGUUGAUCCCCACUGGUACAUGGACUCUGGGGCAACGGAGCACCUGA